GGCUGGUCCAAUUAUUUUCGCCGGUCCAUGCAAAAGCAAAGUGACCGUCAAUGUUCAAGGCACGAUCAGUGCUACAACAAGCGGAUUCGCAACCCCUGAAUGGAUCUUAUUCGAGCGUGUCGACAAUGUCCACCUCACCGGACCUGGCAUAAUUCACGGCAGAGGUGAAGCAAUAUGGGGAGCAGAUGGUUGUGGCAAAAAGUUUAAAUGCAAUCUCCCCCCAACGGUAAAAAUUUGUUAAUGUACACAUAUAUCAUCCAAGUAUUAAUAUGUUGUGUACUAAUCACUUGUAUACAUGCAGUCUCUAAAAUUCAGAAACAUAGUAAAUCUUGAAGUCAGCGGCAUUAGCUCGGUCAACGCAAAGGCCUUCCACAUGUUCUUGGUGAAAACCGUGAAUGUCAACAUCCACAACAUUAAGAUUAUCGCCCCUGCUGAAAGUCCCAACACGGAUGGUAUCCAUUUGAGCAAUGCCGACAACGUUAGGAUCCUAGACAGUUUUAUAGGGACCGGAGACGAUUGUGUUUCAGUCGGUCGUGGUUCCAACAAUGUAACCGUCGAACGUGUGGUUUG
rnacentral:lncRNA from 1 species